UAUGAUAUGUUUAAUAUGCUCUUUGACUAAGACGUUGACCGAGAUAAUAUAAGACGAUCUCGUUGAUAAACCACGUACGAUAGAAAAAAUUAUAUGAAGUCACGUACAAUAGAAAAAAUUAUAUGAAGUCACGUACGAUAGAAAAAAUUAUACUUUAACACAACUUUUUUCAAUUUAUUUCACAAGUGAUAGUUCAAUAUCGGUUCGAUGGCUAUAUGAUAUAGUUUGAUAGUAGUUCAAUGGUGGUUCAAUAGCUGUAUGAUGCAGUUUGAUAGCUGUACGAUGCAGUUCAAUAUCGGUUCGAUAGCUGUAUAAUACAGUUUGAUAACUGUACGAUGCAGUUCAAUAUCGGUUCGAUAGCUGUAUGAUACAGUUUGAUAGUAGUUCAGUGGUGGUUCAAUAGCUGUAUGAUGCAGUUUGAUAGCUGUACGAUGCAGUUCAAUAUCGGUUUGAUAGCUGUAUGAUACAGUUUGAUAGUAGUUCAAUGGUGGUUCAAUAGCAGUUCAAUAGAUGUGUGAUGCUGUUUGAUAGCGGUUCGAUAGCUGUACAAUGCAGUUUGAUAAUGUAUUAUAUAGAUGUAUGAUAUAAAUGUAAGUUUGGAAUGUUUAAUGUGGUUUUUAUUUCGAACGAGAUGUUAACUGAGACGUUAACCGAGACAGCAUUAUAAAGCUUUGAAAUGAGAAUGCGUGCAGAUAAAAAAAUUCCACAAAGCUGACACGACUUUUUUCAAAUUCAUCUCUCAAGUGAGAGUAACGCACAUCUUUAGUCUACUGCUUCUCGACGGUGCAGUCAGUUCGUGGUAUAUUAAGAGUGAGCUUGUGAAGAAACUUUUUAUCGCAAAUACUACAUGACCAUGCAGAACAUUCAAAUCAUGUAUCCCGUCACCGGUGUAAGUGAUAGUGCAAGUUUAUGUACAUGUGAAGUGUAAAAAAUUAAAUAAUAAUUAUAUUCUGUUUUUUAGUACGUGUGUGUUGAUGGGACGCCGAUCCAGCGUGUUAUAAUUAACAAUGAGCUGCGCGUGAGGGUACCACUUCCUGGCCCUCCAAUAAACAUCCCUUUAGGAGGGCUAUUGUCGGUGCGCUAGUCAACAAGUAAUCAACCAUGGUUGUACCAAGAAGAUAUCCAAAUUAGGGGAUUUAUUAAUAUAAAUGAAAUAUUCUGGACACGAUGGGGGAGAAAUAUGCUAAGAGCGCAGAACGACGACGUUUUGGAACGAUCAUACGGUCAAUUUGGUGAAGCCGACGUAUGGGACUUGCGUCGUCUUUUUGGCAUGCCUCCUCUAAUAGAUAAUAAUAUCGAAAUUUGGGUGUAAAUAUAUAAAUAUAUAAAUAUAUAUAAAUAAAUGAUAAGAAUGAAUAUAAAUACAUAAA